rnacentral:rRNA from 1 species
GACGAACGCUGGCGGCGUGCUUAACACAUGCAAGUCGAACGGAAAGGCCCUGCUUUUGUGGGGUGCUCGAGUGGCGAACGGGUGAGUAACACGUGAGUAACCUGCCCUUGACUUUGGGAUAACUUCAGGAAACUGGGGCUAAAACCGGAUAGGAGCUCCUGCUGCAUGGUGGGGGUUGGAAAGUUUCGGCGGUUGGGGAUGGACUCGCGGCUUAUCAGCUUGUUGGUGGGGUAGUGGCUUACCAAGGCUUUGACGGGUAGCCGGCCUGAGAGGGUGACCGGCCACAUUGGGACUGAGAUACGGCCCAGACUCCUACGGGAGGCAGCAGUGGGGAAUAUUGCACAAUGGGCGGAAGCCUGAUGCAGCAACGCCGCGUGCGGGAUGACGGCCUUCGGGUUGUAAACCGCUUUCGCCUGUGACGAAGCGUGAGUGGCGGUAAUGGGUAAAGAAGCACCGGCUAACUACGUG